rnacentral:rRNA from 1 species
AUUGAACGCUGGCAGUAUGCUUAACACAUGCAAGUCGAACGAUGAGAAAGAGCUUGCUCUUUCGAUUAGUGGCGGACGGGUGCGUAACGCGUAGGAAUCUACCUAUUAGUGGGGGACAACUUAGGGAAACUUAAGCUAAUACCGCAUACGCCCUACGGGGGAAAGAAGGGGAUCGCAAGACCUUUUGCUAAUAGAUGAGCCUGCGUAGGAUUAGCUAGUUGGUGGGGUAAAAGCUCACCAAGGCGACGAUCCUUAACUGGUUUGAGAGAAUGAUCAGUCACACUGGAACUGAGACACGGUCCAGACUCCUACGGGAUGCAGCAGUGGGGAAUAUUGGACAAUGGGCGAAAGCCUGAUCCAGCAAUACCGCGUGUGUGAAGAAGGCCUUAGGGUUGUAAAGCACUUUCAAUUGGAAGGAAAACCUCGAAGCUAAUACCUUCGAGUUUGACAUUACCUUUAGAAGAAGCACCGGCUAACUCCGUGCCAGCCGCCGCCGCGGUAA